GUGGGGGUGGAGCUUAAACGGUAUACCAACAGCAAUCAAGUUCUCCAUGAAGCCAGCUUUCCACCUGAGUGUGGGCAUGGCCUCGGCAUUCAGCGAGGUGGAGGUUACAGAAGCGUUUCAGUAAUAAAUAGGACAGGCAACAACGGAGUGCCAGCUAUGUGCCAACCAUCCUACUAAGAGCUCCACGGACACUUCAUGUAAUUUCUUACGUGUCAGUAAGGAAAACUGUGCUGAUCUCUAGUCCGAAAAAGGAGGCCAUGUAUAGGAAUUCAAUUUUAUCAGGGCUGGAGAGAUGGCUCAGCGGUUAAGAGCACCCGACUACUCUUCCAGAGGUCCUGAGUUCAAUUCCCAGCAACCACAUGGUGGCUCACAACCAUCUGUAAUGGGGUCCGAUGCCCUCUUCUGGUGUCUCUGAAGACAGCU